rnacentral:rRNA from 1 species
AGUGAACGCUGGCGGUAGGCCUAACACAUGCAAGUCGAACGGCAGCGCAGUAAGAGCUUGCUCUUACGGGUGGCGAGUGGCGGACGGGUGAGGAAUACAUCGGAAUCUACUUUUUCGUGGGGGAUAACGUAGGGAAACUUACGCUAAUACCGCAUACGACCUACGGGUGAAAGCAGGGGAUCUUCGGACCUUGCGCGAUUGAAUGAGCCGAUGUCGGAUUAGCUAGUUGGCGGGGUAAAGGCCCACCAAGGCGACGAUCCGUAGCUGGUCUGAGAGGAUGAUCAGCCACACUGGAACUGAGACACGGUCCAGACUCCUACGGGAGGCAGCAGUGGGGAAUAUUGGACAAUGGGCGCAAGCCUGAUCCAGCCAUACCGCGUGGGUGAAGAAGGCCUUCGGGUUGUAAGGCCCUUUUGUUGGGAAAGAAAAGCAGCAGGUUAAUACCCCGCUGUUCUGACGGUACCCAAAGAAUAAGCACCGGCUAACUUCGUG